GAAAACUUCGGUCACACUACAAAGAAUAAGAUUUUUCGACUAGUGAAACUCUUAGCCGAUCUGAGUACUAGGCUUAAGCAUUGAUAAGAUACAUGGCGAACUCGAUUGUCGAGACAAAUAGGCCACUUGUAAUUGAAGAAAAAGAGAGAACACGCGGAACAUUAAAAGAGAAGAAAUAAAAUCAUUAAAUUUAAAGGCAUCAUUUACAAACAGGAUGCUUUUUUAAGAUGUUUACAACAAGCCUGAUUUGUUGGAUUACUAGAAAACAGAAUUCAGUGACAGCAUCAUCAACCGAAGCCGAAUACGUGGCCUUGUUCGAGGCUGUUAGGGAAGCCCUAUGGUUAAAAUCCUAACUAUAUAUUCCUACAGAUCAUCAACUGGCGGAUAUAUUAACAAAACCACUCCCAGAUCCACGCAUCGCGAGGUCGAUUGAUGGAUGCACACGACGAUUCAAUUAAUUUUUUUAUAUAUACAUAAAAGUUGAAGAGUUAAUUUAAUUUAUCAUUUGAAGAAUAAUUUUUGAACUACGUUAUUUUCUAUUAAAUCUGUUAUAAUUUCUAGUUAUUAAGUUUGGAAACAGAAGAUAUUCUUAAUUACUUUAUAAUUUUUAAAUUUGUAAGAUUACUUACUGAAAUUGCCUUAAUUGGUUUUGUAUGUUAAAUUUGCAUCACAUCAUUUUGUCAUCUUAAAUAUUCAUUGUUCUUUAUAUUAAUUUUAAGAUUGACCUAAUUGGGUUUUACUGGGUCUCCCCAAUUCAAGCAACAAAUGUUGGGUCAAUGUGCACUCCCAGAGAUAUCUCCAAUUCAAAUUUUAAAUUCUUUCUUAAACUUUAAAUUUAUAAUUCAUGAGCAUAGGACUUUUGAGGAGGUGUGUUGGAAAAUGGCAUUACUUCAUAUCGAUGAGAAUAUCGUAUAAGCAAAAGUAUUCUGCUCACUGCCGUAACUGGUCACACUAUUAUCGUUUUAAUUCCGAUGAGCUGGUUCGCCUCUCUCUCUUUCUGUAAAAUUUGAAGUGACAAUACGUGUUCAAGGGACCUAAAAUAUAUAUAGCUAAAACUAUA